rnacentral:rRNA from 1 species
GUCCACGCCGUAAACGAUGGGCACUAGGUGUGGGAGGUGUCGACUCCUUCCGUGCCGUAGCUAACGCACUAAGUGCCCCGCCUGGGGAGUACGGCCGCAAGGCUAAAACUCAAAGGAAUUGACGGGGACCCGCACAAGCAGCGGAGCAUGUGGUUCAAUUCGACGCAACGCGAAGAACCUUACCUGGGCUUGACAUGUUGGUGACAGCCGUGGAAACACGGUCUCCCUUCGGGGCACCUUCACAGGUGGUGCAUGGCUGUCGU